GACAAUUCCAGGGAAGUGUUCCCUGCACAAGAGACCUAGGAUGCUGUUGACAUGGCGAGUGCCACCACGUGCCCCUGACACAAUAGUCCAGUUCCUGUAAAAGUCAUUAAGAAAACAUUUAAGUUUAUAUCUCCAUGAUCAACAUACCAUAGGAAGUAGUAAUAGUAUGUAAGUAACUUACUUAGUCCCCUCGGGACGAAUCACAGCGCGUAGGGCUGGGUGUGGUGGCUGAGGGAGGGACGCGGGUCCUCGCAAGUAGACACUCGACGUAGUCGAGGAAGUGCUACC
rnacentral:lncRNA from 1 species